UUUUAUUAUGCAAACUAAUGCUUUCCAAUAUCAUUGUUUUAUUUUACUACUCAAUUGAAACAUCAUCAAUAUGUCUUGCUAACAUUCUUUCUUUAUAUUGAUUUGUUAUGUUUUAGACGUUAUUAGAGUUCUGCAAGAUGUUGUGGAAACACAAUGGUCGGUGGUGGUAAGAAAUCAUGCGUCAAUAUCACUCUACAUGAUGAAAUUGGUAAUGUUAUUAAAGUUACCUUAUGGGGAGAGUUUAGCAAAUAGUUAAUGAACUAUAACAGCUCAAACAUCAGUACAGGUCCAACAAUUAUUAUCUUAACAUGUGCGUGGUGAAAUAAAAAUACAAGUUUGCCACAUUAUAUCAAUCAUCAUUCUCAUUGCUUUAUGAUUUCUGUUUUUAAGUUGUACUCUUACUAUAGCUCUCAAUCUAUGGUGCAACAUUUAGAUUACCAAGCCUUUCUAAUGCUUAGUCCGACUUUCGACUUCACAUAAAUUUAGACCAUCCCCAAGUUUAGACCUUUAUAUCCAAGUAUGACACUUUUAGUUUUAUGAUUGCGAUUCUUCAUACUUCUCAUAUAUUCAUAUGCUUCAUGUUCAGAAAAUGACUUUUUCUUUUUCAAUGAAUGAAUAUAGUUUAGGAUCAACACAAAUUUCUCAUGCACCGUCUCAAUCUCAGACCCACACUUCAGAAUUAAUUGCACAAUCUACUGACAAAAAAUGGACUAAGUUGAAUGAGCUCAAGACUAUUCGUGAAAUCAAUGAAUUGAGAAAGAUAUGUUCUAUUUGUUUCUUACCAUUUCUCAUAACCUUAUUAAUCCAUUGACUGAGUUUCUGCAAUUUAAUAAAAGGAGUGCUUCACCAUAAUGAUUGGCACUACCAAAACAUUCAAAGCGUCCAAAUUUGGAUGAUAUCAUGAGACUUUCCCGACUUACAAAUUAUCUAACAAGUCCCCUGGGGUCAAAUUCGAAUGUACACGUGGAGUGAAAGAUGUCGAACCAAUAACUAAGUGAGCUUUCAUUUCUCCAUACUUCUUUGCCCUCUUUUAUGCAUAUUUGAUGUACUUCCAAACUUAAUUAUUUAUUUCCUUUGUGUAUUAUAUACAAAAUAGAAAUUGAGGUUGAGUUUUAUAACCAUGUUUGAUGCUUUGUGUUUUGAGAUAAGGAUUGUAUCCUAUUCCUUGAAGUGAUUGCAAGAGAAUUAAGACAGCUCAUGAAGGCGUCUGGAGAGGAUCACCCUAAAAUAUAUAUGUAACACCUUGACAAACUAUUGAACAAAGAUCUAGCAUUUCGAAUCAAGUAUCAACCUUUUUUCCAACAAUGCUCAAUUGUGACGAUCAUUAAGGAUGUUGAUGUUAUCAAAACCUUUAACGAUUAUAUUAACCCAAAUGAGCAUACAUCACAUGCUGCUGAAUUGGAGAAGGGAACAUUUAUUCCAAUUGACAUUCAAUAUCUACCAAUUAUGAGCCAAUCUGCUGAACAAACCUUCUCUGCACAACUAGGCACAUUUUCUAACCAAGUUUGGAGUCCAUCAACCAGCUUCAACAACACCCCUUGCUAAGAGGGUUUCUAUUUCAACUGCACUUGAUGAUAUUUUUCAAUAUGAAUUCCUAACUCUAAUGCAAUGUGCCACUAAAGUGAAGCACCUUAAGUAGGAGUGAUCAUGUGGCUAUAGAUUUGCAAGUCUCACUUUUUGCUGCAUUAUAAUAGUUUGUUUACACCAUAUAUGUAAGGAUUAAUUCCAACUUCCUAUGACACUAUUAUGGUAUCGUUUUACAAAAUGUUUUUCUUUGCAAUAUAACUUUAACAAAGCAACUCAUGAAUUAAGUGUUCUGUAAUGAUGCUUGAAAGUUUAAUGGUUC